CGUUGAAACACCGGUUCCCGUACGAUCAUCGAAAUUAAGCAACGUCGAGUCUGGUUAAUACUUAGAUGGUUGACCGCUUGUGAAUACCAGGUGCUGUAAU